GGAGUUUGUAACCCGCCACCUCAUGGAAUGAUCUCAGAAUGAACAGUGCCCUUCUAAACUGAAUGAAACAAAACGCAGGCGAUGAUGGAAGUCCAGCGGUGUUCAGGAGUUUCUGUAUCUGAUUUCAGUUCUAUGAGAUUCAUGUCCAAACACUGCUGCCUGCCUUCAUGCGAACAAGAUGGCCGCCAUCUCAUGGUUGUUCAUAGGAAUCGCGGCCACCCAGACGAACAAUUAGAACACUGCAGUGAGAAACGUUCCAAGUUGUUAACAAGCUACCG